rnacentral:lncRNA from 1 species
UACAAUGAAAGAGAGUUUAAUAUACAUUAACACAAAUGUAGAAUGUGUUUAUAAAUUUUUAAAAAACACUAAAGAUCAUAGGCUUUAGUAUAUAGAGCAUAUACCGAAAAAUUCAAUUUUUUCGUAGGGGUUAGCACAUAGAUUUUGAGAAAUUUUCAAAAAUAUGAAAAUAUUUUUUAAUGCAUAGUUUCAUCCUUCACCAACCUAUGAUGAAGUUCAAAGAAGUUUGAAACUUAUGUUGUCUCCGUUUCUCUAGAAAAUAGCAAUUUUAUAAGGGAUAGUCCACAGUUUAAACAAAAAAAAAAUAAAAAAUAAGGGAUAGUCCACCAAUUUAGGGAGUAUUAUGAAGUUUUACUAAAUUAAGUGACAAAAAAUUUAAACGAUUCCCAUGUACCAUGAAAGAGAAUUUAAUAUACAUUAAUAGAAAUGUAGAAUGUGUUUAGAAAUUUUAAAACAACACUAAAGAUCCUAGACUUAAGUAUAUAGAGCAUUUACCGAAAAACUCAAAAUUUUCAUAGGAGUUGUUAACACAUAGAUUUAGAGAAAAUUUCAAAAAUAUGAAAAUACUAUUUUAAUGCAUAAUUUCAUCCUUCACCAACAUAUGAUGAAUAUCAAAGAGGUUUGAAACUUUUGUUGUCUUCGUUUCACUAAAAAAUAGCGAUUUUA